CGUGUUGUGGAUUUGUUUGUUUAUUUAUUUAUUUUUUUGACAUGUGUACCAAACGUACAAAAUUGUCUAAUUGAAGUUCAUCAAUAAAUUAAUACGAUUAUUUAAAAUUAAAAAAAAACAAAGGAACAAUUGAGUUUUUUUAGAAUUUACUUAAAAUGAGGCCAAAAAGAAGAUGUGCUUCGAAAGACCAACAAAUCUCUAAGGAUGGUGACAAGAAUAAAAACAAAGUUGUCAUCAAUUCACUGGUUCAUGACUCGUUAGCAAAAAUCAUCAUGUUGUUGCCAAUACCAGAACGGAUAGACAUGGAAGAAGUUUGUACUAAAUGGAAAGAGGCAUCUCAACUCGCUUGGUAUGACAUUAA